AUUGAACGCUGGCGGCAGGCUUAACACAUGCAAGUCGAGCGGAGACUUCGGUCUUAGCGGCGAACGGGUGAGUAAUACCUAGGAAUCUGCCUAUUAGUGGGGGAUAACGAAUCGAAAGGUUCGCUAAUACCGCAUACGUCCUACGGGAGAAAGGGGGGAGUCUUCGGACCUCUCGCUAAUAGAUGAGCCUAGGCCGGAUUAGCUAGUUGGUAGGGUAAAGGCCUACCAAGGCGACGAUCUGUAGCUGGUCUGAGAGGAUGGCCAGCCACACUGGAACUGAGACACGGUCCAGACUCCUACGGGAGGCAGCAGUGGGGAAUAUUGGACAAUGGGGGCAACCCUGAUCCAGCCAUGCCGCGUGUGUGAAGAAGGCCUUCGGUUGUAAGACACUUUGUUGGGUAGAAACGGACCGGGUUAAG
rnacentral:rRNA from 1 species